rnacentral:rRNA from 1 species
GACGAACGCUGGCGGCGUGCCUAAUACAUGCAAGUCGAGCGGACUUAAAAAGCUUGCUUUUUAAGUUAGCGGCGGACGGGUGAGUAACACGUGGGCAACUUGCCUGUAAGACUGGGAUAACUUCGGGAAACCGGAGCUAAUACCGGAUAAUCCUUUUCUACUCAUGUAGAAAAGCUGAAAGACGGCUUACGCUGUCACUUACAGAUGGGCCCGCGUCGCAUUAGCUAGUUGGUGAGGUAACGGCUCACCAAGGCGACGAUGCGUAGCCGACCUGAGAGGGUGAUCGGUCACACUGGGACUGAGACACGGCCCAGACUCCUACGGGAGGCAGCAGUAGGGAAUAUUGCACAAUGGACGAAAGUCUGACGGAGCAACGCCGCGUGAGUGAUGAAGGUUUUCGGAUCGUAAAACUCUGUUGUUAGGGAGGAACGAGAACGAGAGUAACUGCUCGUACCUUGACGGUACCUACACAGAAAGCCACGGCUAACUACGUG